rnacentral:rRNA from 1 species
GACGAACGCUGGCGGCGUGCUUAACACAUGCAAGUCGAACGAAGUGGCGAACGGGUGAGUAAUACGUGGGUAACCUGCCCUCCUUUUUGGGAUAAGCCUUGGAAACGGGGUCUAAUACCGAAUAAAGGGGGAUGGGCUCGCGGACUAUCAGCUUGUUGGUGGGGUGAUGGCCUAACAAGGCGGUGACGGGUAGCCGGCCUGAGAGGGUGACCGGCCACAGUGGAACUGACAUACGGCCCAGCCUCCUACGGGAGGCAGCAGUGGGGGAUAUUGCACAAUGGGCGAAAGCCUGAUGCAGCGUGUCCGCGUGGGGGAUGAGGGCUUUAGGGUUGUAAACCUCUUGCGCUAUCGAGCGGGUAGGUGGAGAAGAAGCGCCGGCUAACUACGUGCCAGCCGCCGCGGUAAUAC